AUUAGUGAUGAAAAGCUAUACCGCAUUUCGUGGCUAGCCAAGGGCUAUGUUGCUAACGUUAUACCAUCUUUCGGGACUGAUA
rfam:Mortierella elongata AG-77 unplaced genomic scaffold K457scaffold_8, whole genome shotgun sequence.